rnacentral:rRNA from 1 species
GACGAACGCUGGCGGCGUGCUUAACACAUGCAAGUCUACGAGAAUAAGGUAGCAAUAUCUUUAGUAAAGUGGCGCACGGGUGAGUAACACGUAAGUAACCUACCUUUAGAUUUGGAAUAACCCCGAGAAAUCGGGGCUAAUAUCGAAUGAUGCAGCGGCACCACAUGGUGAUGUUGUUAAAGUCUAUAUGACGUCUAAAGAUGGGCUUGCGUCUGAUUAGCUAGUUGGUGAGGUAACGGCCCACCAAGGCUUCGAUCAGUAGCUGGUCUGAGAGGAUGAUCAGCCACACUGGAACUGAGACACGGUCCAGACUCCUACGGGAGGCAGCAGUGAGGAAUAUUGGGCAAUGCCCGAAAGGGUGACCCAGCAACGCCGCGUGGAGGAUGAAUGCCGUAAGGUUGUAAACUCCUGUUAGAGGGGAAGAAUAAUUCCGAUCGACUCGGAAAUUGACUGUACCCUCAGAGAAAGCCCCGGCUAACUACGUGCCAGCCGCCGCAGUAAGAC